UACGAAGGGGGCUAGCGUUGCUCGGAAUUACUGGGCGUAAAGCGCACGUAGGCGGCUCUUUAAGUCGGGGGUGAAAUCCUGGAGCUCAACUCCAGAACUGCCUUCGAUACUGUAGAGCUUGAGUUCGGGAGAGGUGAGUGGAACCGCGAGUGUAGAGGUGAAAUUCGUAGAUAUUCGCAAGAACACCAGUGGCGAAGGCGGCUCACUGGCCCGAUACUGACGCUGAGGUGCGAAAGCGUGGGGAGCAAACAGG
rnacentral:rRNA from 1 species